rnacentral:miRNA from 1 species
AUCCCUAAUGAGAGCUAUUUUCA